AUACUCUGGUUUCUCUUCAGAUUGUAUAAAUCUUCUGCCUUUUACUGAAGAUAUUGAAAUAUUAUGGAGAUGAACAGGCAUGAGUGCCAAGAAUUUUUUUUUUUUCCCUCAUUACCAACAAAGGUA
ensembl:snRNA U5 U5 spliceosomal RNA